AGCUUUAAGAUUACUUAUUUAAAGUAAAGCUUGCCCAGUGAAAUAAAUUUUAAACGGCCGCGGUACCUUGNCCGUGNUAAGGUAGCAUAAUCAAUUGACUUUUAAUUGGANUCUGGAAUGAACGGGCUAACGGGGAUAGANUGAUAAAAAAUUAAGAUUAUUUUUAAAUUACUAAAAGGGUGAAAAGGCCUUUAAAAUGAAAAAAGACGAGAAGACCCUAAGASUUUGAAAUUAUWAUAUUUUGUUGGGGCGACAAGAAAUCAUUUCUACUAAACAUUUCUAUUAUUAAAUAGACGGAUUUAUCAUGACUUAAUAAACUACCUUAGGGAUAACAGCAUAGUCUUAUUUUUAGGUUUGUGACCUCGAUGUUGGACUAGGAUAUUUUUAGGUUANCCNCUAAUUAAAUUCUGUUCGAAUUAUAAUUUCCU
rnacentral:rRNA from 1 species